rnacentral:tRNA from 1 species
UGCCGAAUGGUGUAAUGGUAGCACGUCUCCCUCUGGAGGAGAAAAUUGGGGUUCGAAUCCCUGUUCGGCAGCAA